ensembl:lncRNA
UGAGGAGUGAAGAUUUCUGACCAUAAGAAACAUCUUUCUGCUAUCUUUUGCGGGGUCCCAGAAGGCGGACAGAGAGCUGUGCAGCUCAGGUUGGGAACUGCGGCUUUGGGAUGGGAGCUCAUGGUCCAGCACACACCCCAUGGUGGCCGGUGGCAGCCCGCUCCACACCUGACCUCACUGCUCCUCCCUGUGCACCACGCAGAGCAGAGUGGUGCAUCUGCAGGUGGAUGUGCCUCCUCGAGUGGGAUCGGGGCCGCACUCGGCCGUGCGCUGUUGGAGUGUCAGCUGCAAUAAGGUGGGCAGGGCUGCUUCCCUUCGCUGCUGUCAGUGGUGCUGUGUAGAAGAAAGCUGCUUAGAACUUCUCCGUCAGCUGCAACCUGUGCACAGACAGUGCUGUGCUGCCUCUCCUGGGGAGAUCGCUGCUGUACAGGAGAGGGCUGAGGAGAGCAGGGCUGCAGUCCUCUUUGAAUGCAGGGCUGAUGGAGGGAGCGCUGUGUCUGACAAAGAGCUGAAGGAGAAGAGCUGCCAGAGUGCUGUGCUGAAGGGCUCCGGCAUGGGAGCCUGCAGGAAGACCACAAAGGCUGAAUUACAGAGCUGCUUACUUCUCCUCGAGGCACUGCUUGUCCUGACAGGCAAUACCCAAACCACUGGGAUUGGCGUUAAGCUGGUGAAUUGAAAAGGGAUCCUUUCUGCAGCUUAUUGAACAUCUAAAACCGAGCUGUUGGUUUUGUCCCGUACUGCUCAGCAGGAGCCGAAAUUGCUAAGUGAUGUUAAAGGUGGUCUGCGGAGAGCGCUGACGGAGGGCUUUCUGUGCCGGCGCUGGAAGGUGUAGCAAGCGGAAAGGAGCGCACUAAGAGGAGCUCACGGGAAAACCCACGAGCCUUGCACUUUGUCAUUUACACGCGGUCCUGUUAUGCAACCGGCUGGUGACGCGGGUGGAGCUCUGGGUUUGGGAGGUGGUAGCAGGGAAAGCCCGGUCCCACGGCUGCCCCGCUCCCUUCACCGUUACAGGGACAGCGUUCCACGGGGCUGAGGUGGGCGCUAAGCGCCAUUUCCCUCGUCUGAAAUACCUUCGUGCAGAACGAAAUAGCCCGGAGGUGGACGGGGCACGGACAGCACAAAGCAGAGCAGCGAAGCCGUGGGGUGGUGGGAUAAGGGCAGCUCCCAGCACAGCCCCAGCCUCGGCUCUCCAUGAGCACUGCUGCUGUGCCAAUGGUUUUGACUUGACUUCGGCGUUAGCUCAGAUGUAUCCCAGCGAGGCUUCUCCCUCCCAAAGCCCUUCUUCUUAUCUCCUAUGAGAUGGCUUUCUUUUAAUAAAUCUCACUUUUCUAAAAGCAAUCCUCGAGUUUUCAGUCCAAGAAACGAGACAUGCG